UACAGGGGGUGCAAGCGUUGCUCGGAAUCACUGGGCGUAAAGCGAACGCAGGCGGACCAUCAAGUCAGGGGUGAAAGCCCGAGGCUCAACCUCGGAACUGCCCUUGAAACUGGUGGUCUUGAGUACGGGAGAGGUGAGUGGAAUUCCUGGUGUAGAGGUGAAAUUCGUAGAUAUCAGGAGGAACACCGGUGGCGAAAGCGGCUCACUGGCCCGAUACUGACGCUCAUGUUCGAAAGCGUGGGGAGCAAACAGG
rnacentral:rRNA from 1 species